ACAGAUGCUAUUUCAUAACUGGCUUUCUGAUAUGGUGGUGGACAUCCUCAUUAUGGCCUGCGGAAGAAUCCUUCCUUUACUCUCUGCAGCCACCUCCUCUACGCAUGAGCUGGAAAAUAUUGAGGCAUCUCAGGGUUUGGCUGUGGAGGCAUCACUGAUGCUCUUGCAGAGACUUAUCAAUCUAGUGGAUGUGCUCAUCUUCGCCAGUUCACUCAACUUCACAGAAAUCGAGGCAUAGAAGGACUUAGACAAUGCCUACGUUUGGUGUGUGCGAUGGCUGUGAGAAACUGUCUGGAAUGUCAGCACCACACUCUGGGUAAGUCUGGUGCAGAGAGCAGCCGUGGACA